CCAUACAAUGCAAGUAAAUGAUGACCAAAACUCUGAAAGCUCCAAAAAGGAGAUAAAGUCAGCAUAAAAGUGAUCCAUAAGACUCCAGUGGUUUAAUCAAUGUCUUCUGAAGUGAUCCAGGCCAGACCAAAAGGAUCAACAUAGUGUCCACACAAGUCAAACCACUAUGCUUCGUACACUGUGCUACUGAGAGAAGACGCCUCAAGAUUCACCAAAACAUGUGGGGUAAAUUACUUUAGUCACACAUUUCUAAAUCAUUUAACCAUUUUUUUAACUUAAAGGAAUACCUCACCCAAAAAUGAAAAUUCUUUCAUUAUUUACUUUCCCUCAUGCCAUCCCAGAUGUGUAUGACUUUUAUUUGCAGAUCACAAAUAAAUAUUUAUAAGAGCAUUUCAGCUCUGUAAGGCCAUACAAUGCAAGUGAAUGGGUGUCAGAACUUUAAAGCUCCACAAAGCUGAUAAAAAAGCAUAAAAGUAAUCCAUACGGCUCCAGUUGUUAAAUCCAUGUCUUCUGAAGUGAUAUAAUUAGUGUGGGUGAGAAACCGAUCAAUAUUUAUGUCCUUUAUUACUAUAAAUCUCCACUUUCACAUUUACAUCUAAAAACCUCUUUAGUUUCACUUUCACAUAUGAAAGUGAAAGUGGAGAUUUGUAAUAAAAAAGAAUAUUGGUCUGUUGAUCUGUUGAUCUGUUUAUUGUAUAUGAAGGUAUGGAUUUAACCACUAGAGUCUUAUGGAUGACUUUUAUUCUGCCUUUUUGUGCUUUUUUGUGCUUUUUGGAGCUUCAAAGUUUUGGUCACCAUUCUUUUGGAGCUUCAAAGUUUUGGUCACCAUUCACUUGCAUUGUAUGGACCUACAGAGCUGAGAUAUUUUUCUAAAAUCUUCAUUUGUGUUCUGCAGAAGAAAGUAAGUCAUAAACAUCUGCAAUGGCAUGAGGAUGAGUAAAUGAUGAGAGAAUUUUCAUUUUUGGGGGAACUAUCCUUUUAAAGAAGAUGAUUUAUAAAACAAUAACAACACCAAAAAAAAACAACAAAAAAACAAAACAAAGCUUUUGUCUUCCAUGAAUUGGAAAAUUUAUUUCCAAGAAAUAAAGUCAUACAGGUCUAGAACAACACAUUUUUGUGUGAACUAUUCUUUUAUGUAGGUGUGUAUUUUGAAAUGUAUUUUAAUAAAUUGUUCUUUAAUUUUGCCACUUUUUUCUGUUUCAGCAUUUCAGGGCUGAAGAUUCAGAAGAACCAAAUGUUGGAUAUUCACCAGUUGCCCAGUUAACUGCGGUCAGAGAACUCACAGAUGCUGCAACACACAGAUGCCAUCUCAUAAACAGUUAAAUUGCCCCAUUGAGCAAUAACUAUGUGCAAUACACAGUUUAGUCUUUCUUAUAUUUAUCCAACACAUCCAACCUCUUCUGCCAUUUCAUUCCUCUAAAAAAAAACAAAAAAACAUUUGCACUGUACAUAACAGAUUGUAUUAGAUUUGCACUACCCAUGUGUAUGUGUGUAUGUAUGUAUGUGUGUGUCUGUAUGUAUGUGUAUAAUUAUUUUUUAUUUUUUAUUAUUAUCUAUGUCUUGCUGCUGUUUUUGUAUUGUUUUUGUAUUGUUUGUACACUGGAAGCUCCUGUCA